rnacentral:rRNA from 1 species
UCCUACGGGGGGCAGCAGUAGGGAAUCUUCGGCAAUGGACGAAAGUCUGACCGAGCAACGCCGCGUGAGUGAAGAAGGUUUUCGGAUCGUAAAACUCUGUUGUUAGAGAAGAACAAGGACGUUAGUAACUGAACGUCCCCUGACGGUAUCUAACCAGAAAGCCACGGCUAACUACGUGCCAGCAGCCGCGGUAAUACGUAGGUGGCAAGCGUUGUCCGGAUUUAUUGGGCGUAAAGCGAGCGCAGGCGGUUUCUUAAGUCUGAUGUGAAAGCCCCCGGCUCAACCGGGGAGGGUCAUUGGAAACUGGGAGACUUGAGUGCAGAAGAGGAGAGUGGAAUUCCAUGUGUAGCGGUGAAAUGCGUAGAUAUAUGGAGGAACACCAGUGGCGAAGGCGGCUCUCUGGUCUGUAACUGACGCUGAGGCUCGAAAGCGUGGGGAGCAAACAGGAUUAGAUACCC